GACGAACGCUGGCGGCGUGCUUAGCACAUGCAAGUCGAACGAUGAAGAAGAGAAACGCGAACUUCGGUUCAAAUUUCACUUCGGAUUAGUGGCAGACGGGUGAGUAACGCGUGAGCAACCUACCUCUUACAAAGGGAUAGCCUCGGGAAACCGUGAUUAGUACCAUAUGACACAUUCAUAAGGCAUCUUAAGAAUGUUAAAGCUACGGCGGUAAGAGAUGGGCUCGCGUCCCAUUAGCUAGUUGGUGAGGUAACGGCCCACCAAGGCGACGAUGGGUAACCGGCCUGAGAGGGUGAACGGUCACAUUGGAACUGAGACACGGUCCAAACUCCUACGGGAGGCAGCAGUGGGGAAUAUUGCAAAAUGGAGGGAACUCUGAUGCAGCGACGCCGCGUGAGCGAUGAAGGAAUUCGUUUCGUAAAGCGCUGUUCUAUGGGAAGAAAAGGACUGUACCAUAGGAGAAAGCCCCGGCUAAAUACGUG
rnacentral:rRNA from 1 species